UGCCCCGUCGUCUAAUGGUAAGACAACGGACUCUGACUCCGUUUAUCUAGGUUCGAAUCCUAGCGGGGCAUCCA
rnacentral:tRNA from 1 species